rnacentral:rRNA from 1 species
AUUGAACGCUGGCGGCAGGCUUAACACAUGCAAGUCGAGCGGAGAUGAGGUGCUUGCACCUUAUCUUAGCGGCGGACGGGUGAGUAAUGCUUAGGAAUCUGCCUAUUAGUGGGGGACAACAUUCCGAAAGGAAUGCUAAUACCGCAUACGUUCUACGGGAGAAAGCAGGGGAUCUUCGGACCUUGUGCUAAUAGAUGAGCCUAAGUCGGAUUAGCUAGCUGGGGGGGUAAAGGCCUACCAAGGCGACGAUCUGUAGCGGGUCUGAGAGGAUGAUCCGCCACACUGGGACUGGGACACGGCCCAGACUCCUACGGGAGGCAGCAGUGGGGAAUAUUGGACAAUGGGGGAAACCCUAAUCCAGCCAUGCCGCGUGUGUGAAGAAGGCCUUAUGGUUGUAAAGCACUUUAAGCGAGGGGGAGGCUACUGAGACUAAUACUCUUGGAUAGUGGACGUUACUCGCAGAAUAAGCACCGGCUAACUCUGUGCCAGCCGCCGCCGUAA